rnacentral:tRNA from 1 species
GCGGGCGUGGCGGAAUCGGUAGACGCAAAGGACUUAAAAUCCUUCGCUUUGGCAUGCGGGUUCGAGUCCCGCCGCCCGCACCA